rnacentral:rRNA from 1 species
UACGUAGGGACCAAGCGUUGUUCGGAUUUACUGGGCGUAAAGGGCGCAUAGGCGGCGCAACAAGUCACUUGUGAAAUCUCCGGGCUUAACCCGGAGCGGCCAAGUGAUACUGUCGUGCUAGAGUGCGGAAGGGGCUACUGGAAUUCUCGGUGUAGCGGUGAAAUGCGUAGAUAUCGAGAGGAACACCUGCGGCGAAGGCGGGUAGCUGGGCCGACACUGACGCUGAGGCGCGAAAGCCAGGGGAGCGAACGGG